GCCUUAAUAGCUCAGUCGGUAGAGCACUUCAUUCGUAAUGAAGGGGUCGGGGGUUCGAGUCCCCCUUAAGGCU
rnacentral:tRNA from 1 species